UACUGAAAACACAAACAUUGAAACACUUACGUUGAGAACCACCACCAGUGACUGUUGAAGACUUUGAUUUCUAGCAGAAACAAACAACAAAAACACAAACAAAUGGACGUAGAGAUGCAAUUGUAGAUAUACAAAACUCUUAACAAUCUAAGGGAUUUCAUGGCUUGCAAGUCUAGAGAUAGGCUCCCCUAGAUGUUAAAAUGGAGGACUAUUGAGUGCUCAGGGUGGGAGCACAUUGACACCAUCUUUAGGGCUUCUUUGGUACAUUAUUUGUUAUUGUACUUAAAAACUACGAUUUUUGCUAUAACUUAGAAUUUGAUGGGUUUAAUAGGAUGUUAUAACUCCUA